GAAAACCAAAGGAUAAGCAUAAGACCUUAAUUUGGUAUUC
rnacentral:ncRNA from 1 species